rnacentral:rRNA from 1 species
GGGGAAUAUUGCACAAUGGGCGCAAGCCUGAUGCAGCGACGCCGCGUGCGGGAUGACGGCCUUCGGGUUGUAAACCGCUUUUGAUCGGGAGCAAGCCUUCGGGUGAGUGUACCUUUCGAAUAAGCACCGGCUAACUACGUGCCAGCAGCCGCGGUAAUACGUAGGGUGCAAGCGUUAUUCGGAAUUAUUGGGCGUAAAGGGCUCGUAGGCGGUUCGUCGCGUCCGGUGUGAAAGUCCAUCGCUUAACGGUGGAUCUGCGCCGGGUACGGGCGGGCUGGAGUGCGGUAGGGGAGACUGGAAUUCCCGGUGUAACGGUGGAAUGUGUAGAUAUCGGGAAGAACACCAAUGGCGAAGGCAGGUCUCUGGGCCGUUACUGACGCUGAGGAGCGAAAGCGUGGGGAGCGAACAGGAUUAGAUACCCUGGUAGUCCACGCCGUAAACGGUGGAUGCUGGAUGUGGGGCCCGUUCCACGGGUUCCGUGUCGGAGCUAACGCGUUAAGCAUCCCGCCUGGGGAGUACGGCCGCAAGGCUAAAACUCAAAGAAAUUGACGGGGGCCCGCACAAGCGGCGGAGCAUGCGGAUUAAUUCGAUGCAACGCGAAGAACCUUACCUGGGCUUGACAUGUUCCCGACAGCCGUAGAGAUAUGGCCUCCCUUCGGGGCGGGUUCACAGGUGGUGCAUGGUCGUCGUCAGCUCGUGUCGUGAGAUGUUGGGUUAAGUCCCGCAACGAGCGCAACCCUCGCCCUGUGUUGCCAGCACGUCAUGGUGGGAACUCACGGGGGACCGCCGGGGUCAACUCGGAGGAAGGUGGGGAUGACGUCAGAUCAUCAUGCCCCUUACGUCCAGGGCUUCACGCAUGCUACAAUGGCCGGUACAACGGGAUGCGACACGGCGACGUGGAGCGGAUCCCUGAAAACCGGUCUCAGUUCGGAUUGGAGUCUGCAACCCGACUCCAUGAAGGCGGAGUCGCUAGUAAUCGCGGAUCAGCAACGCCGCGGUGAAUGCGUUCCCG